AGCGAACGCUGGCGGCAGGCCUAACACAUGCAAGUCGAACGAACUCUUCGGAGUUAGUGGCGGACGGGUGAGUAACACGUGGGAACGUGCCUUUAGGUUCGGAAUAACUCAGGGAAACUUGUGCUAAUACCGAAUGUGCCCUUCGGGGGAAAGAUUUAUCGCCUUUAGAGCGGCCCGCGUCUGAUUAGCUAGUUGGUGAGGUAAAGGCUCACCAAGGCGACGAUCAGUAGCUGGUCUGAGAGGAUGAUCAGCCACAUUGGGACUGAGACACGGCCCAAACUCCUACGGGAGGCAGCAGUGGGGAAUCUUGCGCAAUGGGCGAAAGCCUGACGCAGCCAUGCCGCGUGAAUGAUGAAGGUCUUAGGAUUGUAAAAUUCUUCCACCGGGGACGAUAAUGACGGUACCCGGAGAAGAAGCCCCGGCUAACUUCGUGCAGCAGCCGCGGUAA
rnacentral:rRNA from 1 species